CAAUAUUCAUUGAAGAUUCAUCCAUGUCUUCAAUGGCAUGAUAGUGCAUUUCUUUCUAUUGAUGCAUAGUGUUCCAUUGUAUGGAUGUACCACAGUUAAUUUCUUCAUUCACCUUUUGACAGAUAUGAUGACUACUUCCAGUUUUUGAUGAGUAUGAACAGAACUCCCAUGACCAUUCACGUGCAGGUGUGCAAGCUUUUGUAUAGGAAGAAAUUUUCAAGUCAAUUGGGUAAAUACUCAGAAACACAAAUGAUGAGGGAUAAGAAACAAUCUUAUUAACCAAGUAAGUGAAGACCCAGUUCCUUUGCACCCCCAACCUCCUCAAAAUGAUGGAGUUGGCUACGAGAGGAACCUGAGGUGGAGACAUCCUCUCACACAGAAGACUCAACAUAGAAGAAUAGAGGAAGGAAGAGGAGCUGCACAAAUAGACAGUCAGAGGAGGUACGUGGGCAGGAAAGAGAGCGAGCCAUGCACAGCCGUUUGACUGUGAACCAUCCGCGCUUCCUCCUCACACCACAGGCUCUCUUUAGGCACUACUUUUCUCCCACGUG
rnacentral:lncRNA from 1 species